GACGAACGCUGGCGGCGUGCUUAACACAUGCAAGUCGAACGGACAGGCCCUGCUUUUGUGGGGUGCUCGAGUGGCGAACGGGUGAGUAACACGUGAGUAACCUGCCCUUGACUUUGGGAUAACUUCAGGAAACUGGGGCUAAUACCGGAUAGGAGCUCCUGCUGCAUGGUGGGGGUUGGAAAGUUUCGGCGGUUGGGGAUGGACUCGCGGGUUAUCAGCUUGUUUGUGGGGUAGUGGCUUACCAAGGCUUUGACGGGUAGCCGGCCUGAGAGGGUGACCGGCCACAUUGGGACUGAGAGACGGCCCAGACUCCUACGGGAGGCAGCAGUGGGGAAUAUUGCACAAUGGGCGGAAGCCUGAUGCAGCAACGCCGCGUGCGGGAUGACGGCCUUCGGGUUGUAAACCGCUUUCGCCUGUGACGAAGCGUGAGUGACGGUAAUGGGUAAAGAAGCACCGGCUAACUACGUG
rnacentral:rRNA from 1 species